rnacentral:rRNA from 1 species
AGUGAACGCUGGCGGUAGGCCUAACACAUACAAGUCGAACGGCAGCACAGUAGGAGCUUGCUCUUACGGGUGGCGAGUGGCGGACGGGUGAGGAAUACAUCGGAAUCUACUUUUUCGUGGGGGAUAACGUAGGGAAACUUACGCUAAUACCGCAUACGACCUACGGGUGAAAGCAGGGGAUCUUCGGACCUUGCGCGAUUGAAUGAGCCGAUGUCGGAUUAGCUAGUUGGCGGGGUAAAGGCCCACCAAGGCGACGAUCCGUAGCUGGUCUGAGAGGAUGAUCAGCCACACUGGAACUGAGACACGGUCCAGACUCCUACGGGAGGCAGCAGUGGGGAAUAUUGGACAAUGGGCGCAAGCCUGAUCCAGCCAUACCGCGUGGGUGAAGAAGGCCUUCGGGUUGUAAAGCCCUUUUGUUGGGAAAGAAAAGCAGCAGGUUAAUACCCCGCUGUUCUGACGGUACCCAAAGAAUAAGCACCGGCUAACUUCGUG